rnacentral:rRNA from 1 species
GUGGGGAAUCUUCCGCAAUGGACGAAAGUCUGACGGAGCAACGCCGCGUGAGUGAAGAAGGUUUUCGGAUCGUAAAGCUCUUUCGUUAGGGACGAACGUGCUCUUUGUGAAUAAUGAGGAGUAAUGACGGUACCUAAAUAAGAAGCCACGGCUAACUACGUGCCAGCAGCCGCGGUAAUACGUAGGUGGCAAGCGUUGUCCGGAAUUAUUGGGCGUAAAGCGCGCACAGGCGGGAUAUCAAGUCUGUCUUAAAAGUGCGAGGCUCAACCUCGUUAGGGGACAGAAACUGGUAUUAGUGAGUGUCGGAGAGGAAAGUGGAAUUCCAAGUGUAGCGGUGAAAUGCGUAGAGAUUUGGAAGAACACCAGUGGCGAAGGCGACUUUCUGGACGAUGUCUGACGCUGAGGCGCGAAAGCUAGGGGAGCGAACGGGAUUAGAUACCCGGGUAGUCC